UUGCAGCAACAAUUUAAGAACUAAUCUUCCAAAUAGAAAUGGUUGUAGCAUAGCAAAGAACUAGAAGGAACAAAUCAGAAGAGGAAGAAAUGACUCACCUCAUCAAGAAGAAACUAUUUCUCUUCUGAUAUGCACACAAAACACGCAUUCUAUUCUGGUGCGUCACUCUCUCCCUCUUUUUCUACUGUUUUCUCCUCUAAACUUCCCCACUCACUCACUUGUUUAACUUGAAUUUUGGGUUUAAAGAAGAUGAAGACGAAGUCAUGAAGAGAAAGAAGCUUUUAACUAAAUUUAACUCAUCAUCCGACUAUCCAAACACAUGCAGGACAUCACAGCAAUUGAUAUGUUGGAAGGCCAACCACAAUUGGCAAAGAUUGCUAGUUUUCAUGACACCUAGCAGGUCAUCACAGCAGCUCACCAUGUGGUUCGAUCCUGGUGAGUUGUGUCAAAUCAAAGGCAACCAAUCUGCCCUUGAGUGCCAAUCAUUU
rnacentral:lncRNA from 1 species